UGGGGAAUAUUGCACAAUGGGCGCAAGCCUGAUGCAGCAACGCCGCGUGAGGGACGACGGCCUUCGGGUUGUAAACCUCUUUUAGUAGGGAAGAAGCCGCAAGGUGACGGUACCUGCAGAAAAAGCACCGGCUAACUACGUGCCAGCAGCCGCGGUAAUACGUAGGGUGCAAGCGUUGUCCGGAAUUAUUGGGCGUAAAGAGCUCGUAGGCGGUUUGUCGCGUCUGCUGUGAAAACUGGAGGCUCAACCUCCAGCCUGCAGUGGGUACGGGCAGACUAGAGUGCUGUAGGGGAGACUGGAAUUCCUGAUGUAGCGGUGAAAUGCGCAGAUAUCAGGAGGAACACCGGUGGCGAAGGCGGGUCUCUGGGCAGUAACUGACGCUGAGGAGCGAAAGCGUGGGGAGCAAA
rnacentral:rRNA from 1 species